CCCUUAGAUGUCCUGGGCCGCACGCGCGCUACACUGAGUGUCUGAGAUACGAGUCUGCCUGGUCCGGCAAGGUCUAGGUAAUCGCUAAAAGACACAUCAUGCUUGGGAUAGAUUAUUGCAAAUAUUAAUCUUGAACGAGGAAUUCCUAGUAAGCGCAGGUCAACAGCUUGCGUUGAUUACGUCCCUGCCCUUUGUACACACCGCCCGUCGCUACUACUGAUUGGAUGUUUAAGCGAGGUUCUCGAACUGCUAGCGACUUAGCUUCGGUGAGGUCGCAGUGUGGGAAGUGAACCGAGCUUUGGUGUCUAGAGGAAGUAAAAGUCGUAACA
rnacentral:rRNA from 1 species